rnacentral:rRNA from 1 species
UAGGGAAUCUUCGGCAAUGGGCGAAAGCCUGACCGAGCAACGCCGCGUGAAUGAUGAAGGCCUUCGGGUUGUAAAAUUCUGUUAUAAGGGAAGAACGACUUUAGUAGGAAAUGGCUAGAGUGUGACGGUACCUUAUGAGAAAGCCACGGCUAACUACGUGCCAGCAGCCGCGGUAAUACGUAGGUGGCGAGCGUUAUCCGGAAUUAUUGGGCGUAAAGAGCGCGCAGGUGGUUGAUUAAGUCUGAUGUGAAAGCCCACGGCUUAACCGUGGAGGGUCAUUGGAAACUGGUCGACUUGAGUGCAGAAGAGGGAAGUGGAAUUCCAUGUGUAGCGGUGAAAUGCGUAGAGAUAUGGAGGAACACCAGUGGCGAAGGCGACUUUCUGGACUGUAAAUGACACUGAGGUACGAAAGCGGGGGGAGCAAGCA